rnacentral:tRNA from 1 species
GCCGAUGUGGCGGAACUGGCAUACGCGUGCGACUCAAAAUCGCAUGGGCUUUACGCCCGUGUGGGUUCAACUCCCACCAUCGGCACCA